UACGGGGGGAGCAAGCGUUGUUCGGAUUUACUGGGCGUAAAGGGCGCGUAGGCGGCGCAACAAGUCACUUGUGAAAUCUCCGGGCUUAACUCGGAGCGGCCAAGUGAUACUGUCGUGCUAGAGUGCGGAAGGGGCUACUGGAAUUCUCGGUGUAGCGGUGAAAUGCGUAGAUAUCGAGAGGAACACCUGCGGCGAAGGCGGGUAGCUGGGCCGACACUGACGCUGAGGCACGAAAGCGUGGGGAUCAAACAGG
rnacentral:rRNA from 1 species